CAACACAUAGCCUCACGCAUACAUUUCCCUUUCCGACUUAAGCAUCGGGGGGACGACGAGAACAUACCUCGUUGCCUUUGUUUCAGGUACCGGAAGACCACUAUCGUGAUCAACCCGAAUCAUCAAGCUCGAAAAAUCGGCAGGUACGAUUUUUGGUAGCAUCAAUACCUAUUCUUCACGAAUAGACAGCUAAGGUCUUAUUAUAUCCUUAGAAUUAAUCAACAAUAUUUCACCAAUAUAUAAGUGAUUUGUUAGGACGAACAUACUGCAUAGUUCUUCAUCUCCAUUAUCAGUCUGUUAAAAGAAAAGAAAAUAAAUAGAUACAAAUAGAGUAACACAUAUAUCAUGAAAGUUUAAAUAUCUGAUCUAUGCUGUCACAUUAAACUCAUAAAGACGGUAUCCAUACAAUGGACGAGGCCUAAACUGUGUAUAAUCCCUGGUUAAUUGUAAAGGUCCUUGCCAAAUAUUUUCAUGGGACAAACCCAAGUAACUAACUCGUAUACAUUAAGAUAAGUUCUACAAUCUACUCAAAAUCUCACAGGCACUCUUAUCUUCUUGAAAGAUGAAUGAGUUUUCACCAAUGCUUAGGCAUCGAAACUGAAGACAGGAUUUGUAUUAUCUGCAGAAGGGGAAUAUAUUGAUAAGGUCUAGUUAUAUAAUAUUUUUUUACUUUCCAGGGUGGUCUUUCUCAUUUUGCAUUUUUUUUUCAACGGCAGAAUGUAAACCUGUAAUGCCAAAUAAAAAUAUUGGGUUUUCACCAUGCAGCGCAGCUCUUUUUUCUGGUAAAUUAAUGCCAAAAAGCAGUAUAUUUUGUGAUGCAGGAAAAAAAGGAUUCCAGUAGAGAGUAAAACAACAAAAAGGAAGCAAAAUUGUAGCAAAAAGGAGAAGAGAAGAGGAAGAGAAGAAGACAAUGGCAGCAAGGGGGAGAAACCCAGAGAAAAACGAGAAGCUAGGGAGGAAGGGGAAGGAAAACGUAAUAACAAAGCAUAUUCAUUUCAUCAAUUCAUCAACUACCUUGCAAUUCCAGUUACAACUAUAUAAAUAACAAAAGAAACUUAAUAUUCACAGGCUUGGGUCAGACCCACUAGACAAGCCCAAUGAAAUAAAAAGACAUCAUUAAAUAAAACAAGAAGUAAAAUAAUUGGACCGAUGUUCGUAUCAACUCUCUCGGGGUGGGAGAAAAAACUCGACCUUGUCGAGUGGUUGAACUACCAUGAGGGACGAUCUUUCUAAUGACCCAAAUAUCGAAAUUUAACAGUUGAUAACAGUGAAAGCUGUAGCUGAUCCUCAAAGCUAUGAUCCACCCAAGGAAAAUGAUCUCUUUUUUUAAUCAAAUACCGAUAUUGAUCUUUAAAUAGUAAAUGCUCAUGCAGCUCGUCUUUAAAAUCAUCACGCGAUUGUGCAUAAUUAGGAGCAUAAAAAGUUAUGCAAUGAAGGUUGGCUUGUAGAGACAAAAGAUUGCAACAUCGAGCCUUCAAAUGGGCCCCGAUUAGGAAACAAUUCUUCUAUAUUAAAAAUAUAACUUUCAUUUAAGUGAGAUGGCCAGCCACGUGAAAAAUCUUUAUUCGAGUGGUGCAAAAACUUUU
rnacentral:lncRNA from 1 species